CCUACGGGAGGCAGCAGUGAGGAAUAUUGGUCAAUGGACGAGAGUCUGAACCAGCCAAGUAGCGUGAAGGAUGACUGCCCUAUGGGUUGUAAACUUCUUUUAUAAAGGAAUAAAACGAGGCACGUGUGCCUUUUUGCAUGUACUUUAUGAAUAAGGAUCGGCUAACUCCGUGCCAGCAGCCGCGGUAAUACGGAGGAUCCGAGCGUUAUCCGGAUUUAUUGGGUUUAAAGGGAGCGUAGAUGGGUUGUUAAGUCAGUUGUGAAAGUUUGCGGCCUAACCGUAAAAUUGCAAUUGAUACUGGCAGUCUUGAGUACAGUUGAGGUAAGCGGAAUUCGUGGUGUAGCAGUGAAAUGCUUAGAUAUCACGAAGAACCCCGAUUGCGAAGGCAGCUUACUAAACUGUGACUGACAUUGAUGCUCGAAAGUGUGGGUAUCAAACAGGAUUAGAUACCCUAGUAGUC
rnacentral:rRNA from 1 species